UGCGGUUUAUAGAGACAGGCCUAAAUACAAUGAUAAACAGUACACUGAAAAGAAUGUUUGAGGCAAACAGAAGAUGCAUGGAAUCCCCCCUGAACAUGGAGACAGUACAGUUACAUGCAUUAUCAAAGCUGGAUUAUUAGGUGCUACAUUUAAACUCAACCAUAAAUAUUUGCUUAUUUUUAAGGUAUACAGAGAUCCCUUGAAGAAAUAAAGAACAGCUUUUAAUUAGAGAAUUCUCUUUUAAUACAGUUACAAAGCUUUCAAACCAUGAUGAGUAAAAAAGAUGCAAGGAAAUUUGUUUACAGCCUUCCAGAUUCAGCAAAUAAUGCUAGAGAAUUAGUUAAUGCAAGACCUAAUGAUGGAAAUGUACCAGGUUCCAUGGCUAGGAGAAUGUCAGAAAGCCUCAUCAUUAGUGUGUUACAGAGGCAGUAAAGGAAAUCGAUGGUGAUGUUUCUUGUGUUGGUGAUGAGAAUCAGAGUGAGGAGGAAAUGGAUGACAGUCAAGACAAUCAUGAUUUCCACACUCCAGACAAAAGUAUAAACAGAAGAAAAAUUAUAUUCUGAAAAUUUGAUUUUAAGGAAAAGGAAGCCACUUUCUGAUCACAGAUCCACAACAGAAAUGGAAGAUUCUGCAUGCAAGUGACAGAAGAUACAAAAAAUCCCAAGGACAUCAUGUGAAAUGAUUUUAAUCAAAAAACAUUUCAGAAAAGAUUACAAAAAUGUAAUAAAAACUUAGAUAAGUGUUAAAG